GACGAACGCUGGCGGCGUGCUUAACACAUGCAAGUCGAACGGAAAGGCCCUGCUUUUGUGGGGUGCUCGAGUGGCGAACGGGUGAGUAACACGUGAGUAACCUGCCCUUGACUUUGGGAUAACUUCAGGAAACUGGGGCUCAUACCGGAUAGGAGCUCCUGCUGCAUGGUGGGGGUUGGAAAGUUUCGGCGGUUGGGGAUGGACUCGCGGCUUAUCAGCUUGUUGGUGGGGUAGUGGCUUACCAAGGGUUUGACGGGUAGCCGGCCUGAGAGGGUGACCGGCCACAUUGGGACUGCGAUACGGCCCAGACUCCUACGGGAGGCAGCAGUGGGGAAUAUUGCACAAUGGGCGGAAGCCUGAUGCAGCAACGCCGCGUGCGUGAUGACGGCCUUCGGGUUGUAAACCGCUUUCGCCUGUGACGAAGCGUGAGUGACGGUAAUGGGUAAAGAAGCACCGGCUAACUACGUG
rnacentral:rRNA from 1 species